CGAAGCCGCGAGGCAGAGNGAACCCCAAAAAGCCGUCCCAGUUCGGAUCGCAGGCUGCAACCCGCCUGCGUGAAGUCGGAAUCGCUAGUAAUCGCGAAUCAGCAUGCCGCGGUGAAUACGUUCCCGGGCCUUGUACACACCGCCCGUCACACCAUGAGAGUCGGGAACACCCGAAGCCCGUAGCCCAACAGCAAUGAGGGCGCGGUCGAAGGUGGGUUCGAUAAUUGGGGUGAAGUCGUAACAAGGUAGC
rnacentral:rRNA from 1 species